GCCGCCUUCACCUUCACCGCUUCACACGAAGGUAAGUUCUCUUUGCUUCUUCUCUUCCUCUUCCUCUUCCAGUGUUUCUUCUUCUCUUCUCCUCUUUUUUAAAUAUUUGGUUGUUAUCUGCAAUAGAGCCUCCCAAGACAAAGUGCUCUUAUUCAAACCCUCCAAUAGAUUGGCCAAAACUAAUUGCAGAUGUUGUAAGGUGAAGACGCUGCAUUGGAAGUGCUAAUGGGAAGUAAAAAGGGUUCCUGACUUCCAAGUUGAAGAAUUAUUCAACGGACCGGAACAACCCUCUAAAACCCUAAGCACUUUCUGGCCUCUUUCCUUAUUUGCACUUUAGGCAUAUAUCAGCACAGAGAUGUGCUUUAGAAGCAAGCAAAGUUCAAAAAAAUUAUACCCAGGCAGUUGACACAUUUCUGGAGGAAAUGAUUGUGCAGAGAUAGCUUGUUAAUAACUUCUGCUAUUACCAGCCUCAUUAUGAUUCAUUACUGGGUGCAUGAGAAUGGGCGCGUAAGACCUUGAUAGAACAUGCAUCUGAUAAACGGGAACAUAUAUACACGUGAGUUAAAUGCUUUCAUUUGUUUUCUCAGUAGAUCUCUCGCUUAAGCAAGAAAAGAAUAAGAUUCUUAACUAUCUGCUCUUCAAAUCCCAAUAAAUUCAUAAGAAUUUCCUUGAAGAUGAAAUAGAAAACAUUAUGUAAGAUGCUAGUAUCUACUUUAUAUGGUAUUGAAUUUGGAAGUGCGUAUGGUCUUUUGCAGGCGAGAGGAAUAGGAGAAGGCACAAACUACAGACUCUGUAAAUUACCUUUUCAUCUAAUUAUUACAUUAACAAAAAGUGCCAAAAGAGUGAUAAUAUUAGGUAGUGAAUGAAGAGUUAUUGAUCUGAUUCAUCCGAUGCUUUUAUUUGGCAGGGAUGAAAGUCCAUGUUACUGAAGAAAAAGAAUUGAGUGGUGCUGCAGGUCUGAAGUGUGAAGUUCCUUGAAGAACUCCAGGAUGUUAUGAUAAGAACAUGAUCUAUGAAUACUAGUGGUCAGGCAUCUGCAUCUACUGCUUGAGUCGUAUCAUGAAGACAAGGUAGAGGUUGAGGUAAAGGUAAGGCACAAGUUGAUGCAUCAGUUAGGCCUAGAGGGCCGACUACUACUCCAGUAUUUGUUAGAGCAGAGUCUCAUGAGAAUGAUGUUCAUGUUCUUGAGGUUGAUUAGAUUCAGAAUAAAGAGGUAGCCCUAAGUAAGAUGCUACUUAGGUUUGUUGCUACACUGGUACUUCAGGAUACUUUGGUACGUAUGCUCAACUUCUUGGAAUAAAUGACUCAGGCUGGUAUUUUGCCUAGUGUAUCUGGUGGUUCUCAGGCUAAGGUGGGAGACAAACUCCUAACCAGUAGGCUAUAGGUCUUUAGAUCCCACUGAGUCAGACAACCGCAUCAGUAGCUCCUAGAAUUGAAGGUAUAUAUUUUCCAGGCACUACUAUACCCAUAGUUGCUAGCCUAUCAUGACACUUGAGGUGCAGAAAAUGUUUGAGAGGUUUAGGAGGAUGGAUUCUCCAUAGUUCAAGGGUGGACAUGAAGAGGAUUCUUAUAAGUUUACAAUCAGUUGUCAUGAGAGGUUACACAAUUUGGGACUAGUGGAGUCUCGCGGAAUCGACUACACUACUUUUCAGAUGACAGGACCAAUCAAGCAGUGAUGGAGAGCUUACAUCGAGACUAGACCAGCUGGGUCUCCUGAUUUGACUUGAAAUUAGUUCACUCAGAUAUUUUUUGAGAAGUUUGCUCCUUGUAGUAUGUGAGAAUAAAGAAGGAACAAGUUUGAGAAUCUGACUCAAGAUGGUAUUUCAGUGAUCGAGUAUGAUACCAAAUUUCAUGCCUUGUCUCAUCAUGCUUUGAUGAUUAUUCCUAAUAAGACUAAGAGGAUUCGAUGAUUUGUGAAUGGAUUGAUCUAUCUGAUACGUAUGACGGCUUUUCAGACAAUAUUUAUUGGAAGCAUUUUUCAUAAAGUAGUUGAUGCGGCUAAGGAUGUCGAGUAUAUGCGGCAUAAAAAGUUCGGUGAUGGAAGGGAAAAAAGGUCUCGUACUUUCGGUGGUUUCAGUGGUACCUCAUUCGGAGGUAGAGGUUUUUCAUGAAGGGGUUUUUGAUCACCUUUUGAUAAACUAGUUCAGGCAGCUAUUCAGGAAUCCAAGAGAGGUCGUUCAUGACAGGGUUCCCAAGGAUCUACUCAGAGAGUCUCUAGUCAUAGAGGUUCUUCAAAUCACUCUCGUUCUACCCAACAGAUGAUGACACCUAGAACAUGUUAUGAGUAUGAUGAGCCAGGCCAUAUCAAGAGAGAUUGCCCUUGACUCAGGCAGAAAGUACAGUAGCAGUAUGGUUCUCAGGGUCCUCAUAGAGCAAUACCACAGCCGAUUAGAGGCUGUGGCGGUUCGCAAGCAGGUCGAGGUGGUGGCCGAGGUGUUGCUUGAAGUGGGAGUGGUAGAGCUCAUUGUUAUGCUUUUUCAGGUCGUCUAGAGGUAGAUGUCUCUAAUUAUUAUAGGUAUUAUUCUAGUGUGCCAUAGAUCUGCUAUAGUUUUGUUUGAACCUGGUUCUACCUUUUCCUAUGUGUCUGUAUAUUUUUCUUUAGGCCUAGAAAGGUCAUGUGAUUCUCUUUCUAUGCCUAUUCAUGUUUCCACUACUGUGGUUGAUGUUUUAGAGGUGGAUCAGGUGUACCGAUCUUGUAUUGUGACUUUGAAGGGAUAUGACAUGUGG